rnacentral:rRNA from 1 species
UACGGGGGGAGCAAGCGUUGUUCGGAUUUACUGGGCGUAAAGCGCGCGUAGGCGGCCCGGUAAGUCCGCUGUGAAAGUCAAAGGCUCAACCUUUGAAUGUCAGCGGAUACUGCCGGGCUAGAGUCCGGAAGAGGCGAGUGGAAUUCCUGGUGUAGCGGUGAAAUGCGCAGAUAUCAGGAGGAACACCAAUGGCGAAGGCAGCUCGCUGGGACGUGACUGACGCUGAGACGCGAAAGCGUGGGGAGCAAACAGG